rnacentral:rRNA from 1 species
UACGGAGGGUGCAAGCGUUAUCCGGAUUCACUGGGUUUAAAGGGUGCGUAGGCGGACAGGUAAGUCAGUGGUGAAAUCUCUGGGCUUAACUCAGAAACUGCCGUUGAUACUAUUUGUCUUGAAUAUUCUGGAGGUAAGCGGAAUAUGUCAUGUAGCGGUGAAAUGCUUAGAUAUGACAUAGAACACCGAUAGCGAAGGCAGCUUACUACAGAAUGAUCGACGCUGAGGCACGAAAGCGUGGGGAGCAAACAGG